rnacentral:rRNA from 1 species
AACGAACGCUGGCGGCAUGCCUAACACAUGCAAGUCGAACGAGACCUUCGGGUCUAGUGGCGCACGGCUGCGUAACGCGUGGGAACCUGCCCUUAGGUUCGGAAUAACUCCCCGAAAGGGGUGCUAAUACCGGAUAAUGUCUUCGGACCAAAGAUUUAUCGCCUUUGGAUGGGCCCGCGUUGGAUUAGCUAGUUGGUAGGGUAAAAGCCUACCAAGGCGACGAUCCAUAGCUGGUCUGAGAGGAUGAUCAGCCACACUGGGACUGAGACACGGCCCAGACUCCUACGGGAGGCAGCAGUGGGGAAUAUUGGACAAUGGGCGAAAGCCUGAUCCAGCAAUGCCGCGUGAGUGAUGAAGGCCUUAGGGUUGUAAAGCUCUUUUACCCGGGAUGAUAAUGACAGUACCGGGAGAAUAAGCUCCGGCUAACUCCGUG